AGGGUUUGAUUAUGGCUCAGAUUGAACGCUGGCGGCAGGCCUAACACAUGCAAGUCGAGCGGUAGAGAGGUGCUUGCACCUCUUGAGAGCGGCGGACGGGUGAGUAAUGCCUAGGAAUCUGCCUGGUAGUGGGGGAUAACGCUCGGAAACGGACGCUAAUACCGCAUACGUCCUACGGGAGAAAGCAGGGGACCUUCGGGCCUUGCGCUAUCAGAUGAGCCUAGGUCGGAUUAGCUAGUUGGUGGGGUAAUGGCUCACCAAGGCGACGAUCCGUAACUGGUCUGAGAGGAUGAUCAGUCACACUGGAACUGAGACACGGUCCAGACUCCUACGGGAGGCAGCAGUGGGGAAUAUUGGACAAUGGGCGAAAGCCUGAUCCAGCCAUGCCGCGUGUGUGAAGAAGGUCUUCGGAUUGUAAAGCACUUUAAGUUGGGAGGAAGGGCAUUAACCUAAUACGUUAGUGUUUUGACGUUACCGACAGAAUAAGCACCGGCUAACUCUGUGCCAGCAGCCGCGGUAAUACAGAGGGUGCAAGCGUUAAUCGGAAUUACUGGGCGUAAAGCGCGCGUAGGUGGUUCGUUAAGUUGGAUGUGAAAUCCCCGGGCUCAACCUGGGAACUGCAUUCAAAACUGUCGAGCUAGAGUAUGGUAGAGGGUGGUGGAAUUUCCUGUGUAGCGGUGAAAUGCGUAGAUAUAGGAAGGAACACCAGUGGCGAAGGCGACCACCUGGACUGAUACUGACACUGAGGUGCGAAAGCGUGGGGAGCAAACAGGAUUAGAUACCCUGGUAGUCCACGCCGUAAACGAUGUCAACUAGCCGUUGGGAGCCUUGAGCUCUUAGUGGCGCAGCUAACGCAUUAAGUUGACCGCCUGGGGAGUACGGCCGCAAGGUUAAAACUCAAAUGAAUUGACGGGGGCCCGCACAAGCGGUGGAGCAUGUGUUUAAUUCGA
rnacentral:rRNA from 1 species